rnacentral:ncRNA from 1 species
CGGUGGCGGAGGCAAACCUACGGCAACGUGGGGACGCAAAGCCGCGAGCGCCCCUCCUCCCUCGGUAGGAGGUGGGAGGGGGUAGUCGGGCUGCCGAA